rnacentral:rRNA from 1 species
GACGAACGCUGGCGGCGUGCUUAACACAUGCAAGUCGAACGGAACGGCCCUGCUUUUGUGGGGUGCUCGAGUGGCGACCGGGUGAGUAACACGUGAGUAACCUGCCCCUGACUUUGGGAUAACUUCAGGAAACUUCGGCUCAUACCGGAUAUGAUCUCCUGCUGCAUGGUGGGGGUUGGUUAGUUUCGGCGGUUGGGGAUGGACUCGCGGCUUAUCCGCUUGUUUGUGGGGUAGUGGCUUACCAAGGCUUUGACGGGUAGCCGGCCUGGGAGGCUGAACGGCAACAUGGGGACUGAGAUACGGCCCAGACGCAGACGGGAGGCAGCAGGGGGGAAUAUUGCACAAUGGGCGGAAGCCUGAGGCAGAAACGCCGCGUGCGGGAUAACGGCCUACGGGUGGUAAACCGAUUUCGCCUGUGACGAAGAGUGAGUGACGGUAAUGGGUAAAGAAGCACCGGCUAACUACGUG